rnacentral:rRNA from 1 species
AUAGAUAGGGGGCCUGAGAGGGUGAUCCCCCACACUGGUACUGAGACACGGACCAGACUCCUACGGGAGGCAGCAGUGAGGAAUAUUGCGCAAUGGAGGAAACUCUGACGCUAGCCAUACCGCGUGUAGGAAGAAUGUCCUAUGGAUUGUAAACUACUUUUAUACAAGAAGAAACC